rnacentral:misc_RNA from 1 species
CGGGGCUCAACUGGCUGAUGUUCGACAUUAGCCUUAUGACUCCGCCAACUGGACGAGGGAAAGUGUACCCGCAAGGAAUGCUCAGCGCUGUCGUAGCUGAGUGGUUGAUGGUGUUCAUCUUCCAGUCCUACGUGCUGACGUACAUCCCGGAUUUCCGCAAAGCGACGUUUGUGCUCGACGUGAACCUCAGCGGAGUGUGUGAAAAGAAGGAAUAGAAGCAGUGCGUGUGAAAAGACCUUAGGACUUUUGUUUACAAGAACUUAUGAGGAGCAUAGACUCGUUGAUGCCUGUGCUGACCAUCGGUGGUAUGAGUGUGGAGAAUCUAUUCUACCUCGUAAUCUUUACUAUAUUUUUACUUAUCGAGGCAGACAAAUGCUACUGACAUUGUAUUAUUUUAAACACUUCUUAUGCCAUCAUUUUUGCAAAUAAAUAUUCAGACAAAUAUCA